CCGAGUUUUGCCUAUUACGCUUAUCAUACAACGAACUGUGAAGCUACAUAUAUAUACAUGUGUGUGUGUGUGUGUGUGUGUGUGUGUGUGUGGGUGUGUGUGUGUG